CCCAUACGUAUUAGGAAGAGACUGUAUGAUCAGAUCCACUUGCAGUUCUUUGUCCAUAUUCAUUUUGAGCUUCUGAAGCUCUUCAAUAUCCUUGAUCAUUAUCAGACAAUAAUCAUGCAUGGACUACCCAUCACGCAUUUUUGCUUUGAAAAGUCUAUAGGAGACUACAAAGUGAGCCAUGUGACUCUACUCACCAUACGACUCUGCUCACCAUAUAACUCUUGCAGGUGAGU
rnacentral:lncRNA from 1 species